UUAGAUUUAAGAGCGCCAGAGCUUUCUUAGAGAAGAGAUUUAUUUAUAGAGAUAAAGAUCUUUCUAAAUAAAGUUGACGAGGACUGGAGUUUAUCGAAAAUUCGGCGGAUACUCCAGAGGUGGUUACAGCCAUUACCAAUACAAAACUUUAGGAUAACCUAAAGGACAAAGGGGUAAUAAGUAGCAAU
rfam:Fusobacterium mortiferum ATCC 9817 genomic scaffold supercont2.2, whole genome shotgun sequence.